AUCUUAUUGUUUAUUUACCUGCUUUAUAAGAACAAAUUAAACUGAAAGGACCAUUUAAUCUGAUGUGGAUAAUUUAGUCAAUUAUUUUAUUUCUCAGAAUAGCUUGUGUGGGACAAAAAGUGGUCCACAGUUUGUAUAGAGGCAGUUAAUUUUAUUUUCUUCCUGAGUAAGCAUCCAAGAUUUGUAAAGAAAUCUAUCAAAGGACAUUCUUAGCAGGUCCAGUGUGCUUGUUGCUCGAGACCUCAUGCCUUCUGGACCCAGACAUCUCUGCAAUCUUGGAACUGGAAUACACCGCUUCUUGUCAAGGUACUAGCGAGUUGAUAAGUAACUCCUCUCAGUGGUAUUUCUUUGAAACACUCAUGCUGAAUACCCCUGAAAUAUCGCAUGUCCUUCUCCCACCACACCCCCCACUGAGGGUAAGCACACCUUCCUGGCAUGACUUCAGGGACACUAUACUUCUAAUUCCAAUUGUGGCUAGAAUAUCUGCAUCUCUCCGCCUUCUCUUGUAAGGACAAAAAACAUCUUCAAAUACAUGUUAUUUUCCUUUUUCCAUGAGUCUACACUUUCAUUGAAAAGGUUGCUAGGAGCUGUAUUAGACAUGACUUGAAUUUUUUUAAAGUUUUGUUUUUUUCCUUUCAGCUUGAGGCUUCUUACUCAUACAACCUAUGUUUCCUCUAACUGGGGGUGGGGGUGGGAAUCUGUCCUUUGAGC
rnacentral:lncRNA from 1 species